rnacentral:rRNA from 1 species
GACGAACGCUGGCGGCGUGCUUAACACAUGCAAGUCGAACGGAAAGGCCCUGCUUGCAGGGUACUCGAGUGGCGAACGGGUGAGUAACACGUGGGUGAUCUGCCCUGCACUUCGGGAUAAGCCUGGGAAACUGGGUCUAAUACCGGAUAGGAGCCAUUUUUAGUGUGAUGGUUGGAAAGUUUUUUCGGUGUAGGAUGAGCUCGCGGCCUAUCAGCUUGUUGGUGGGGUAAUGGCCUACCAAGGCGGCGACGGGUAGCCGGCCUGAGAGGGUGGACGGCCACAUUGGGACUGAGAUACGGCCCAGACUCCUACGGGAGGCAGCAGUGGGGAAGAUUGCACAAGGGGCGCAAGCCUGAUGCAGCGACGCCGCGUGGGGGAUGACGGCAUUCGGGUUGUAAACUCCUUUCGCUAGGGACGAAGCUUUUUGUGACGGUACCUAGAUAAGAAGCACCGGCUAACUACGUG